GAACGGGUGAGUAACACGUGGGUGAUCUGCCCUGCACUUUGGGAUAAGCCUGGGAAACUGGGUCUAAUACCGAAUAGGACCACGCGCUUCAUGGUGUGUGGUGGAAAGCUUUUGCGGUGUGGGAUGGGCCCGCGGCCUAUCAGCUUGUUGGUGGGGUAAUGGCCUACCAAGGCGACGACGGGUAGCCGGCCUGAGAGGGUGACCGGCCACACUGGGACUGAGAUACGGCCCAGACUCCUACGGGAGGCAGCAGUGGGGAAUAUUGCACAAUGGGCGCAAGCCUGAUGCAGCGACGCCGCGUGAGGGAUGACGGCCUUCGGGUUGUAAACCUCUUUCAAUAGGGACGAAGCGCAAGUGACGGUACCUAUAGAAGAAGCACCGGCCAACUACGUGCCAGCAGCCGCGGUAAUACGUAGGGUGCGAGCGUUGUCCGGAAUUACUGGGCGUAAAGAGCUCGUAGGUGGUUUGUCGCGUUGUUCGUGAAAACUCACAGCUUAACUGUGGGCGUGCGGGCGAUACGGGCAGACUAGAGUACUGCAGGGGAGACUGGAAUUCCUGGUGUAGCGGUGGAAUGCGCAGAUAUCAGGAGGAACACCGGUGGCGAAGGCGGGUCUCUGGGCAGUAACUGACGCUGAGGAGCGAAAGCGUGGGGAGCGAACAGGAUUAGAUACCCUGGUAGUCCACGCCGUAAACGGUGGGUACUAGGUGUGGGUUCCUUCCUUGGGAUCCGUGCCGUAGCUAACGCAUUAAGUACCCCGCCUGGGGAGUACGGCCGCAAGGCUAAAACUCAAAGGAAUUGACGGGGGCCCGCACAAGCGGCGGAGCAUGUGGAUUAAUUCGAUGCAACGCGAAGAACCUUACCUGGGUU
rnacentral:rRNA from 1 species